GAUGAACGCUGGCGGCGUGCCUAAUACAUGCAAGUCGAGCGAACGGACGAGAAGCUUGCUUCUCUGAUGUUAGCGGCGGACGGGUGUGUAACACGUGGAUAACCUACCUAUAAGACUGGGAUAACUUCGGGAAACCGGAGCUAAUACCGGAUAAUAUUUUGAACCGCAUGGUUCAAAAGUGAAAGACGGUCUUGCUGUCACUUAUAGAUGGAUCCGCGCUGCAUUAGCUAGUUGGUAAGGUAACGGCUUACCAAGGCAACGAUGCAUAGCCGACCUGAGAGGGUGAUCGCCCACACUGGAACUGAGACAGGGACCAGAGGCCUACGAGAGGCAGCAGUCGGGAAUCGGCGGCAGUGGGCGGAAGCAUGACGGAGCAACGCCGAGUGAGUGAUGAAGGUCCUCGGAUCGUGAAACUCUGUUAUUAGGGAAGAACAUAUGUGUAAGUAACUGUGCACAGCUUGACGGUACCUAAUCAGAAAGCCACGGCUAACUACGUG
rnacentral:rRNA from 1 species